GCUGAGCUGUCGGUGGCCGCCGGAAGUGGGUGGCGGCCCGGGUCCCCACGGGGGAGGCUUGUGGGUGCGUGGGAGCCCUCUUGGCAGUUGGCGCGACGGGGACUUGGCAACGCUGAAGGAAACGCGGGGGUGGGGUCGGCGGUGGUUCACGGUAUUCUUUCUGGAGGGGAACCCAGUACCGGUUGGAAGAGGAAAAUAAAAGGCUUGUUCUGCCAGAAAGAGGUAUGGAUGUGAUAGUGAGUCACAGCCGGCCUUGGGACAUGGUGAGGGAGCAGAAGGCGAGCUAAGGACAGAGCACCAGCUGACUCCUGCGCACCCCACAGGUUGCCCCGGAUCCUCCCCGCAGGUGGGGGAGCUGUCGCCCUCCUCAGCCCCCCAGGCUGCCCCAAGGCUCGGGGGAUGCAUGGAGGUUACAGCCUUGGAAGACACGAGCCUCCCUCGGUUUACAAAUGUCUCCGUGAUUUACAGGAAGAAAAGCAUUCUUACCAAUAACCUAAAUCCCAGGAGAAAAUGUGGGUAAAGUUAACCCGCAGCCGUCGGCAGAUGCUUGAGGCAGAGUAUCGUGUCCCUCCUGUCUUAAAGCCUUGCUAGAGGGAAGAGCUGCCCAGGUCGGACAGUAGCAAGGCCUCAGAGCUCCUGGGUGGAUUCCUGUGAACCCCUGGGAAACCGGGGAAGUCUCAGUAAUCUUACCGUGCUUUGCCUGCCCGCCCAAUAAAAGGUGGAGUUGAUGGCGCAACAUCAUGAGGAAAGAGCUCAAAAACUUGUUUGGCUGCAUAAUACUUGCAAGCAUCUUCUGCAAUCCGAGUUAUUCUGUAGCUUUGAAAGGUUUGAUAGCUUGCUUUUCAUCAGUGUUCAGUAGGUGCUUAUUUUAGCACUUGGCUUCACAAGAAGGCCUUUGCAAACAACUGCCUUUGAGUUAACCCCACAGGAAAACAAAAAGUGAGAUUACAAAAACUGGGUUUCAAGGUUGAGGUGGUGUAAGUUUUUGCCAAAACAUGUCCUGUCAUUCAAUCUGAUAGUCUCUCAGGUCCUGUUAGUGAACAGAGGUCUCCCUAUAUUUAAGCAAGUGAGAAAUUUAGUGGCACACAGUUUCCAAAACAAAAAUUGGGAAAAGUUUAAGGCGUAAGUACUCUAGUAGCAUGUGCAGUGGAAGAAGAGUUUUGAAGUUCUCCUACUUUGCCAGUUUGUAAGUUUGGUUUUCUCUUCUGUAAAAAUGAAGAUAAUGCCGCUUAUCUCAUAGGACUUGUAGGGAUUAAAAUAGUAUGAAAGCAUCUCGCACAACAAAUGAUCAAUGGUUGCACUGUGUAAUUCUCAUCGUACACUUGAUCAGCCUCUAAGAAAUAGGAUGCUAUUUUUAAACAGUUUGCUUGAGACAUAGAAUUUCCUACAUUCAGUGUUUGAAAUACUCUGAGUAUCUCUGAAUGUCCUUCCUGUACCGUCACAUCAACACAACUGAUUUCCAUAUGUAAUUUAACCAGCAAAUAAGUUGACACUCUUCCAUGGCUCUAAUGUUAGUGUUAGUAUAUCAAGAUGCUUGGCUUUAGGUCUCAGGCACAUUGAGUAGGAAACUAUUUCUAGAUUCCUCAGUGUUAAAGCUUGGGACACCUGGGUGGCUCAGCAGUUUAGCACCUGCCUUCGGUCCGGGGCAUCAUCCCGGGGUCCCUUGUGUGGAGCCUGCUUUUCCCUCUGCCUGUGUCUCUGCCUCUCUCUCUGUGUGUCUCUCAUGAAUAAACAAGUAAAAUCUUAAAAAAAACAAA